rnacentral:lncRNA from 1 species
UUCUUCAGGUGGGCGCCUGACUUCUUCAAUUUCUCUAUCCUCAUUCUCCAGGUGGACGCCUGACUUCUUUAAUUUCUUUAUCCUCAUUCUCCAGGUGGACGCCUGACUUCUUCUUUCUUCAUCCUCAUUCUCUAGGUGGACGCCUGACUUCUUUAAUUUCUUUAUCCUCAUUCUUCAGGUGGACGCCUGACUUUUUUUAAUUCUCAUCCUCAUUCUCCAGGUGGACGCCUGACUUCUUCUUUUUCUCAUCCUCAUUCUCCAGGUGGACGCCUGACUUCUUUUAAUUCUCAUCCUCAUUCUCCAGGUGGACGCCUGACUUCUUCUUUUUCUCAUCCUCAUUCUCCAGGUGGACGCCUGACUUCUUCUUUUUCUCAUCCUCAUUCUCCAGGUGGACGCCUGACUUCUUUA